rnacentral:rRNA from 1 species
UACGUAGGGAGCAAGCGUUGUCCGGAAUCAUUGGGCGUAAAGCGCGCGUAGGCGGCCCUGUAAGUCUGUUGUGAAAGUCAAAGGCUCAACCUUUGAAAGCCGAUGGAUACUGCGGGGCUAGAGUCCGGAAGAGGCGAGUGGAAUUCCUGGUGUAGCGGUGGAAUGCGCAGAUAUCAGGAGGAACACCAAUAGCGAAGGCAGCUCGCUGGGACGGUACUGACGCUAAGGCGCGAAAGCGUGGGGAGCGAACAGG